AGAAUGACAAGAAGAUCCUGGAACUCAUGUCCAACAUCAUCCAGCUGCUGACUGGAGAGGUUGCCAUAAGGACUCAUCAUGUUUCCAUCUAUUUUUCCUUGGAUGAGUGGGACUAUAUAAAAGGAAACAAGGACCUUUAUGAGGAAGGGAUAAAGGAGGAGCCACAGCAGCUCCACUCACUGGUGCAGUGAGCUGAGAGACGCGGGCUCCCCUGCACUGCCUGGGAGAGGAGGCAGCAGCAAGUGGAACAGAUGUUCAGGACUAGUAUGGAUUUUGCAGACAUUUUCAAUAAAGUAACCAGAAACACUACUUUUUUUUUAGCACAUAUUUUUGUUUUUUACAUAAGAUGUCUCCUUUAAAACACACUAUGGUUACACCAUAACCCUCCCCAUGGUCCCUUUAUAAUAGUAUACUAGUGUGUCAUUUGCUGAGUACAUUAAUUUUAAAAAAAAGUUUCAAAUUCCAGUACUAUUCAUCAGUUUAGCUUAUACAGGUGGCUUUAAACUACCCAAAAUGUUUUGGUUAAUUGUUCCCUAUGGGACGCUUAGAAGGGAAUCCUCCCAUAGUGUCCGGACAUCAAAAGGUUUCCUGUAUCAAACGAAAAUCAAAUAACCAUCUAAUUAUCAGUGAUAUUGGCCCAGUAUAAUAUGUACAGAAUGAACACUAGUUCAGCUGGAUCACUUGAUCAUAUGUUCCACAAUCCAUACACUUGUGCUGGUGUAAUGUAACCAAUAUCCUGCUCAUGUUUCACACCCGACUGGCCCUUCUAUGGGGACAUAAGUGCAAUUGCGCAUAUUUAUUUUUAAAUAGAGUAUCACAUCACUACUAUGGAAGCUACAAAGCUGCAGAUUUCUACAUGCAACAAGCCAAUGGCAAAACAACUUUCUGUUUUACAAUUAUAACUGAAAUAGAAUGGAGUAGAAUUGAAGUCCUAUGCUGGACUAGAGUGUAUUAAGGCAAAACAUCCCAUUUUACAGAACCACAAAAUACAACCCGCUCUGCUGUAGGUCGGCAGUCACCAAAACUGUCCUGCCAGAGAUCCUGAAAAGUUUAACAUAGAAAUAACAUCUACUGGAGAAGUAUAAGGAAAAAUAACAAAGGCAGCUCAUAUGUUAAGUUGUGUGAUUUCUGUCCUGCUGCAAAAGAUGGAGUGUACAAGUCGUACUUCUCAAGUCAUGGGACCCAACAAAUGUCUCCAUAUGGCUCAGUUGCCUUUCUGUGUUCAUAUAUCACAGUCAUACAACUGAGAUAUCAUCAUAAGCCCUGUAAGAUAAUUACAUCUAGAUAAGUCAAAAAGACGAGUGCAACUUAAUUAGAAACUACAUAUAAAUCAAUAAAGCCCGUAAUUCCAUGUCUUCAUUAAGACUUCUCAGUGCUUCUGUUGUCAAUUACAGGAUCCAUCUAGAUUCUUAUUGUAAGAGUACCCUAGACACAUCAUCACCCCUUAUCCCUCAUUUCAAGGAGAACUAAACCCCUUCGGGCACUAAAAUCCCUCCCCCCUGGCCUACCCCCCCCCAGGGGCAAAUGCCCCUAAGUAUUUGCCAGUUCAGCUCUACUGCGCAUGUGCCGAAAGUCACAAUGUUUUCCAAUUUCUUUUUUCGGAAACUUUGUGACUUUCGGCGCAUGCGCAGUAGAACUGAACCGGCAAGUGCUCCUACUGCGCAUUUACCGCCAAACGCCGGGCAAUACAGGAAGAAGACCGCACGGGAGAAGAGGGCGCCUGUGAACUCCAUGCACAGGACCUGCGGCGAGGGUUAAGUAGCAAAUUAGGGGCAUUUCCCCGGGGGGGGAGGUAGGCCAGGGGGGAGGAGGGAGGGGGGCAACACAGGGGAGAGAUUUUAGCGCCUGAAGGGGUAUAGUCAGUAUAGUUAUAAAUUCCUGGCAUAGCAAUUCCGGACCAUCCUGUGAUAUCAAAUGCCAUCGAUAUAACAGGCUAGGGCUGGGCUGUCCAGGCACCCCAAGGAACCCGGCCAGCCACGUCGCCCCCCCUCCACCGCUCGCAUGUACAUGCAUGCUGACUGGCCAUGUCACCCCCUUACCUACACACACCUCACAUGCAUGCUCGCAAACGAGCAAAGCACAGGCCGGCCCCCAAUUUUGCGCCCUAGGCACAUACUACUCUGUCUACCCCUGUAACAGGCUCCAAUAAGAAAAUGGUGUGUAUACUGUGAAAGAGACUAGGGAUGGGUGAUUCUUGUUUUGCAGCAAAAAUGACGCCCAUAGACUUGUAUGGCAUUGUGCAAAAAAAAAAAAAGACGCGCAUCAAAAAAAUUUCACCUCGGGACUUUUUUUUUUGACGCCCAUAGACUUUAAUGGGCGUCAGCGACAUUAAGCCAGCGGCAAAUUUUUGAUGAAACGGGUCACAUUCGCCCAUCCCUAAAAGAGACCCAUGAAACACAGAUUACCUCUCCCACCUCCCCUAAAAUACAUUAGUAUUAGUGCGUGUGCAGGCCACACCCAUUUCUGUACCUCUUAAUUAGAAAAACAUCCCUGAAAACCAAAAAUUUAUGGUUACGUUUAAAUUCCAAUGACUGAUGGACAAACUUAUUAAAUUCCUCACCCAUGGGUGUAUACCACAGCCUCCAUCCCAUAAGAGUGUGGAAUGCUAAUAAUAACAAAUCUGAAGUAUCUCACACAUAAGUUUGUAAACACUCGACUAGAUGGUUUUAGGUAAAUAUCUACAAAUUUAGAUGACUGAUCUGUGAAUCCAUUUAUGCCUGAAACAAUAGGCUGUCCGGUUGGCUUGUUGAGUCUCUUGUGCACUUUUGGGAGCAAAUAAAAAGUAGGUACACUUGGUUGCACAAUACAAAGAUAAUCCAAAUUGUGUUUUGUGAUCAGUCCCAUAAUCAUAAGCCUUUUUUUUUUUUUUAAUUUUUAAAGAAGUUCUCCUUAAAUUCAGGUAAAGGGUUCCCCAGCAGUUGCUUGUAAGUGAUGCCAUUGUGUAACUGUCUUUCUGCCUCCUUGAUAGAACCAUCUGGGGCCUCCUUUAUCUGAUUGAUUUAAUUCCACAUUUUCCCAUUUUUAAACUUCUGUAAAGCCUGCUAUUCAUCCCUAGUUAAAUGAUAUCUUCGAGGUUUAAGUGCAAAUCUUCUAUUCUAUCUGUGUAGCUGGGUAUAUCUUGAGAGAUGGUGUGAAUGUAAAAGAGGGUUUAAAUUCCAUUAAUUUAAAACCAUAUGAGGUCUCCAAUUGCCCCUCUCUCUCUCUGUUAAGACUAUGCAAAUCACUUAGUGCCUGUUGUUCAGCUUCAGAUCAUUCAAGUAGCAACUUGUGUAAAAACAAAAAUAAUAUGACUUAAGUUUUAUCCAAAUGGGCCAUAGGACAGAAAGAUAAUCCCUUUGUUAAUACAUCAUUUUGUACCUAUGUAAGUAGGUGUGUAGGUUAAUAACACUUUCACCCUCAAUCUCUUUUGCUUUCUGUGCCAUGGUCUCCCCUGGUGGCUCUGUACAUUCCACUUCAUUAGGAAACAAUUUCCCACUAUCUCUCCUCUGUCUGAGUUCUCUAUGCAAAUCCUUCUCUUCCAUCACUUUCUCCAUUGAAGUCUUCUCUUGAAGCUCAGAUCUGCUUAAAAACUUGCAGACGAUGAAGAGAAAAUGUCAUGUAUGUGUUAGUGUGCAUAAAUACUAUGAGUAUACAAAUAUGGGUGUUUAAGUGAAAAUGUACUGUAAGUGAGUG